GACGAACGCUGGCGGCGUGCCUAAUACAUGCAAGUAGAACGCAGUUGCGAACGGGUGAGUAACGCGUAGGUAACUGCCUCAUAGCGGGGGAAAAAUAUUGGAAACGAUAGCUAAUACCCCAUACUGUGAGAUGGACCUGAGUUGGAUUAUGUAGUUGGUGAGGUUAAGGCUCACCAAGGUGACGAUACAUAGCCGGCCUGAGAGGGGGAUCGGCCAAACUGGGGCUGAGACACGGCCCAGACUCCCGCGGGAGGCAGCCGUAGGGAAUCUUUGGCAAUGGAGGGAAGGCUGGACGAGCAACGCCGCGUGAGUGAAGAAGGUUUUCGGAUCGGAAAGGUCUGUUGGUAGAAAAGCGGUAUCUAACCAGAAAGGGACGGCUAACUACGUGCCAGCAGCCGCGGUAAUUC
rnacentral:rRNA from 1 species